UACGUAGGGGGCAAGCGUUGUCCGGAUUCAUUGGGCGUAAAGAGCGUGUAGGCGGCCAGGUAGGUCGGUUGUGAAAACUGGAGGCUCAACCUUCAGAGGUCGACCGAAACCAUCUGGCUAGAGUCCGGGAGAGGAGAGUGGAAUUCCCAGUGUAGCGGUGAAAUGCGUAGAUAUUGGGAGGAACACCGGUGGCGAAGGCGGCCCUCUGGACCGGUACUGACGCUGAUGCGCGAAAGCGUGGGGAGCAAACGGG
rnacentral:rRNA from 1 species